UACGUAGGGGGCAAGCGUUGUCCGGAUUUAUUGGGCGUAAAGAGCUCGUAGGCGGUUUGGUAAGUCUGGUGUGAAAUCUCCACGCUCAACGUGGAGGGGCCACCCGAUACUGCCAUGACUGGAGUCCGGUAGAGGAGUGUGGAAUUCCCGGUGUAGCGGUGAAAUGCGCAGAUAUCGGGAGGAACACCGGUGGCGAAGGCGGGUCUCUGGGCCGAUACUGACGCUGAGGAGCGAAAGCGUGGGGAGCGAACAGG
rnacentral:rRNA from 1 species